rnacentral:tRNA from 1 species
CAAAGUAUAGCUUAAUAAAAGCAUCUCGCUUACACCGAGAAGAUGCCCGUUAGCCCGGACUACCUUGA